UAAAGCGGUACGCGAGCUGGGUUUAGAACGUCGUGAGACAGUUCGGUCCCUAUCUGCUGUAGGCGUAGGAGAUUUGAGGGGAGUCGUCCCUAGUACGAGAGGACCGGGAUGAACAGACCUCUAGUGUACCAGUUGUCCUGCCAAGGGCAUUGCUGGGUAGCUAAGUCUGGACUGGAUAACCGCUGAAAGCAUCUAAGUGGGAAGCCAACCCCAAGAUGAGAUCUCCCACUCUUUGAGAGUUAAGACCCCAGGUAGACUACCUGGUGGAUAGGCCGCAGGUGGAAGAGCAGCAAUGCUUGCAGCCGAGCGGUACUAAUUGGUCGAGGACUUGGCUAU
rnacentral:rRNA from 1 species